AAGUAUUAAAGGUCCUGCCUGCCCAGUGAACCUGUUUAAACGGCCGCGGUAUACUAACCGUGCAAAGGUAGCGUAAUCACUUGUUCUUUAAUUAAGGACUAGUAUGAACGGCUUUAUGAGGGCCCAACUGUCUCCUAUGACCAAUCAAUGAACCUGAUCUUCCAGUACAAAAGCUGGAAUAACUACAUAAGACGAGAAGACCCUGCGGAGCUUUAAACAAACCCUAAGCCAUAUUUAACCUGCUCAGGCAAACACAUUUAACGCAAUUAGGAGAGUUUUAAGUUGGGGCGACUACGGGGUAAAACAAAACCCCCAUGAAAAAUACUUGUGCUAGACGCACACGUCUACAACAAACCCAAAAGACCCAGUACUACUGAUCAACGGACCAAGUUACCCCAGGGAUAACAGCGCCAUCCCCUUUAAGAGUCCUUAUCACCAAGGGGGUUUACGACCUCGAUGUUGGAUCAGGACACCCAGGUGGUGUAGCCGCUACCAAUGGUUCGUUUGUUAAC
rnacentral:rRNA from 1 species